rnacentral:rRNA from 1 species
UACGGAGGGGGCCAGCGUUGCUCGGAAUUAUUGGGCGUAAAGGGCGCGUAGGCGGUUCGGUAAGUUUGAUGUGAAAUCCCAUGGCUCAACCAUGGAACUGCAUCUCAUACUGCCGGACUAGAGUCUGGGAGAGGGAAGUGGAAUUCCCGGUGUAGCGGUGAAAUGCGUAGAUAUCUGGAGGAACACCGGUGGCGAAGGCGGCAUCCUGGACCAAUUCUGACGCUGAGGAGCGAAAGCCAGGGGAGCAAACGGG